rnacentral:snRNA from 1 species
GUGCUCUCUUCAGCGGUGCAGGUACGAAAAUUGAAAUGUUGUGGAGAUUAGUAUGGCCCGUGUGCAAGGAUGACACGCAAAUUCAUGAAAAAACCCCCAGUGUG